ensembl:snoRNA SNORA63 Small nucleolar RNA SNORA63
GUGCAGGAUAAGUUACAGGACAGCUGGGCGGUGCUGUGCUGUCGUUCCCCCUGCAGAAAGUGACAUGUUUCCCACUAUCCCUGUCUGCUAGCACACCCCUACUGGCAGGGACGCUUGGUUUCAUACAU